rnacentral:rRNA from 1 species
UACGGAGGGUGCGAGCGUUGUCCGGAAUCAUUGGGCGUAAAGGGCGCGUAGGUGGCCCGGUCAGUUCGUGGUGAAAGCGCGGGGCUCAACCCUGCGUCGGCCAUGAAUACUGCCGCGGCUGGAGCACUGUAGAGGCAGGCGGAAUUCCGGGUGUAGCGGUGGAAUGCGUAGAGAUCCGGAAGAACACCGGUGGCGAAGGCGGCCUGCUGGGCAGUUGCUGACACUGAGGCGCGACAGCGUGGGGAGCAAGCAGG